GAUGAACGCUAGCGGCAGGCUUAACACAUGCAAGUCGAGGGGUAUGCCGAUUUAUCGGCAGAGACCGGCGCACGGGUGCGUAACGCGUAUGCAAUCUACCUUUCACAGAGGGAUAGCCCAGAGAAAUUUGGAUUAAUACCUCAUAGUGUUAUUAGAUGGCAUCAUUUGAUAACUAAAGUUCCAACGGUAAAGAUGGGCAUGCGUCCUAUUAGCUAGAUGGUAAGGUAACGGCUUACCAUGGCUACGAUAGGUAGGGGUCCUGAGAGGGAGAUCCCCCACACUGGUACUGAGACACGGACCAGACCUCCUACGGGAGGCAGCAGUGAGGAAUAUUGGACAAUGGGCGCAAGCCUGAUCCCAGCCAUGCCGCGUGCAGGAAGAAGCAUCCUAUGGUGUGUAAACUGCUUUUGACGGGAAGAAC
rnacentral:rRNA from 1 species